rnacentral:rRNA from 1 species
ACGCUCGACACCUACGGGAGGCAGCAGUGGGGAAUAUUGGGCAAUGGGCGCAAGCCUGACCCAGCAACGCCGCGUGAAGGAAGAAGGCUUUCGGGUUGUAAACUUCUUUUCUCAGGGACGAAGGAAGUGACGGUACCUGAGGAACAAGCCACGGCUAACUACGUGCCCGCAGCCGCGGUAAUCUGAGCGGGCUGGCAAGGC